CCCGCGCCGUAUUAGCUAGUUGGUAAGGUAACGGCUUACCAAGGCAACGAUACGUAGCCGACCUGAGAGGGUGAUCGGCCACACUGGAACUGAGACACGGUCCAGACUCCUACGGGAGGCAGCAGUAGGGAAUCUUCCGCAAUGGACGAAAGUCUGACGGAGCAACGCCGCGUGAGUGAUGAAGGUUUUCGGAUCGUAAAACUCUGUUAUUAGGGAAGAACAAAUGUGUAAGUAACUGUGCACAUCUUGACGGUACCUAAUCAGAAAGCCACGGCUAACUACGUGCCAGCAGCCGCGGUAAUACGUAGGUGGCAAGCGUUAUCCGGAAUUAUUGGGCGUAAAGCGCGCGUAGGCGGUUUCUUAAGUCUGAUGUGAAAGCCCACGGCUCAACCGUGGAGGGUCAUUGGAAACUGGGAAACUUGAGUACAGAAGAGGAAAGUGGAAUUCCAUGUGUAGCGGUGAAAUGCGCAGAGAUAUGGAGGAACACCAGUGGCGAAGGCGACUUUCUGGUCUGUAACUGACGCUGAUGUGCGAAAGCGUGGGGAUCAAACAGGAUUAGAUACCCUGGUAGUCCACGCCGUAAACGAUGAGUGCUAAGUGUUAGGGGGUUUCCGCCCCUUAGUGCUGCAGCUAACGCA
rnacentral:rRNA from 1 species